CGUGUGUGCUGGUCUCUCUUGGUUACACUGCCACUGGUAGCUGCUCUGCUGAGUGCCAUCGCUGUGCAUUGUCUCCAUCGGUGUGGAGAUGGCAGAGUUUUUAACUGCAGCUGCUGCUUGAGACGGAUGGAGACCAUGAAGACCGUGGACCUUCAGUACGCCAGCCUUCAGCUUUCAAGCAAAACACGGCCUCCUGUUCAGACAACAUGCUCAACCCCAGCGGCAGAUGCUGUCAUCUACAGCUCCGUGGCUAACCGUGGUACGGCUAAUAACCGCCCCUAAUUCCCUAAGAGUGACGAGGCUGCCGUAACCCCCAGAAGCGAUUCGUGAUGUGCUCAGAGCUGUGUUCCAUGACACUUCUGAAGUGUUAAACAACACGGUACCUGCUGUCAUAAUGUUCAAGUAAGGAACCGGCUAUCGCAGAGACUAAAUAAAUCUUCAUUUUCUGUAGCUCUGAAGUAACUUGAAGACACAUCUGAGCUCAAUGAGAUGGGAGAGAACUGAGCGCUGUCAGAUCCUAUGGAUUUGACAGCAGGUGCGUUGCCCAUGCCGAGAGUGUCGAUUCCGGAAUUCGCCGGGCUGUUCGCUCUGUCUAUUUUUGCCCACUGUGCUGACUGGCUCGCGAGGACAAGGCUGUCAAUUCUCUCCUGCCAAACUGAGCACAGUUAUGCUUUACGCUUUUUAGCAAAUAGCAGGAACAGCCUUCAAGCAGCCCUGUGAGAAUGAGUCACAUGACUGAUUUUUGUCACCGAAUGGUCAUCGUUUACCAGAAAUGUAUUUUUCAAGUUUCUCUGACACUCGUCUUCGUAUUCUCGGGGUGAAAAAAAGAAAAAUGUUUUGGACGACGUCCGCUGUUGCUUCUGUAUUCAUUAACUUU